GGCAGUCAAGGUCUCCUGCUUUACUGAUAAACUUGUCUCCACGGACCCACACCCCCUGCCCAAGCGCUCUUGAUCCUGGGCAGACUUAGAAGCAGUGCAGGGCCUCAGUGUGGGCCCUGAGCCUCGGGCUCUAAAGGGUGAAUGGCACGUUCACACCAUCGUCUUUCCUGGAAACGACAGCGCCUGCCAUUCAGGACAUUACCCAGCCCCCGGCCUGAUAGCCCAUGACUCUCCGGUUCAUAACACAAAAUCACACUUUUCAUCAAGAAGCUCGUAUUCUCCAGAUAAUUCAAGAAUCCAUAGAGCAAAUCCAGCACAGACUGUUUGCUUCCCAACACCCAGACACACGUGCCUGCAAAUUCCUGAUGUUACGAAGACCUGCCCCGGAGAGGGGAGGCAUCGCCCCAGGUAACCCCAGGCCCCAGGAGACUGACAACCCACAACCCAGCUGACCCCAUAUCCUGGCUGUAAUGGGGCUGCCAUCCACACCGCCUGCUCCAAGGGCUCUGCUGCUCCGGGUUGGACCUGCACGGUUCUGGGUCACUGCAGGACUUGGGACAAGUGACUCAGUUCCCCAUUGAGCAGGACAGCAUCCCAGCCGCCCUGGGUUACUGUGAUAUCAGGAGUCAGUGGCCAACGUUUCCUGAGCCCUCUUUCUGAGGCCAGACGCCAGCAUGGAGGCUGCAGCGAGUCCCUUCCCUCAUCUGCACAAGGCCUAGGGACCCCAUGGCUACCUGGCUCAGGAGGCCAGCAAAGACAAUCGCCGGAUGUUUGAGUACCCCCUCUCCUUCCAAAACAAACAGAAAACCCGUCCACAGCGUCUGUGGACCAAAGAAGAACCGCCAGAGUCCAGGGAAGCAGACCCACAUUCGCGCCAGGCCUGGGUGGAAGCCUUGACCCUGGGAAGGAAGGCUGACCAGAAGCCCCGGC
rnacentral:lncRNA from 1 species